AUGGGAAUGCAUGCUACGAAAGACAGGGUCGAGUCUGAUACAUCAACCGUCGACUCCAUAUCCUUGUACGAGUCCACAAUCACUACACGAGAUGAACCUGGGUUUGGUGAAUGGAAGUUGGCCUUAGGUGUAAUAGGACUCCCAGUUACUGCGCGCGAUCGUAUACUGAGGUGCUCCCCGUCGGUUGUUGGAACGACGCGAGCCGGGCCGGGCCUCGAUUCCUUUCAAAAAGAUGAAGGGACAGAGGUGACUAAUUCCCCAUCUCAUUUGGGGCGGAAAACGAAUCGACAUCUCGAUGUGAUACAGCCCUUUCCAUUUUCAUUGGGAAAGAACGGCGAAGUCCAUCCGAACCCUCCAAUGAAGAAAUAA
rnacentral:rRNA from 1 species